rnacentral:rRNA from 1 species
UACAGAGGUCUCGAGCGUUGUUCGGAUUCAUUGGGCGUAAAGGGCGCGUAGGCGGCGGGGUAAGUCUGGUGUGAAAUCUCGGAGCUCAACUCCGAAAUUGCACUGGAUACUGCUCUGCUAGAGGGCUGGAGAGGAGAUCGGAAUUCACGGUGUAGCAGUGAAAUGCGUAGAUAUCGUGAGGAAGACCAGUGGCGAAGGCGGAUCUCUGGACAGUUCCUGACGCUGAGGCACGAAGGCCAGGGGAGCAAACGGG